UACGUAGGGUGCAAGCGUUGUCCGGAAUUAUUGGGCGUAAAGAGCUCGUAGGCGGUCUGUCGCGUCGGCUGUGAAAACUCGGGGCUCAACUCCGAGCUUGCAGUCGAUACGGGCAGGCUAGAGUUCGGCAGGGGAGACUGGAAUUCCUGGUGUAGCGGUGAAAUGCGCAGAUAUCAGGAAGAACACCCGUGGCUAAGGCGGCUCUCUAGUACGGUACUGACGCUGAGACGCGAAAGCGUGGGGAGCGAACAGG
rnacentral:rRNA from 1 species